GAUGAACGCUAGCGGCAGGCCUAAUACAUGCAAGUCGGACGGGAUUCAGGAGCUUGCUUCUGAUGAGAGUGGCGCACGGGUGCGUAACACGUAUGUAACCUACCUUUAUCAGGGGGAUAGCCUCUCGAAAGAGAGAUUAAGCCCGCAUAAAAUCACAGCACAGCAUUGUGUAAUGAUCAAAUAUUUAUAGGAUAGAGAUGGGCAUGCGGAACAUUAGCUAGAUGGCGGGGUAACGGCCCACCAUGGCGACGAUGUUUAGGGGAUCUGAGAGGAUGGCCCCCCACACUGGUACUGAGACACGGACCAGACUCCUACGGGAGGCAGCAGUAAGGAAGAUUGGGCAAUGGGCGGAAGCCUGAACCAGCCAUGCCGCGUGCAGGAAGACGGCCCUACGGGUUGUAAACUGCUUUUAUACGGGAAUAAACCCAGAUACGUGUAUCUGGCUGAAUGUACUGUAAGAAUAAGGAUCGGCUAACUCCGUG
rnacentral:rRNA from 1 species